rnacentral:rRNA from 1 species
GACGAACCGUGCGAACGUUGUUCGGAAUCACUGGGCUUAAAGGGUGCGUAGGCGGGGUGGCAAGUCCGUGGUGAAAUCCUCCGGCUCAACCGGAGAACUGCCGCGGAUACUGCCGCUCUCGAGGGGUGUAGGGGCAUGUGGAACUCAGGGUGGAGCGGUGAAAUGCGUAGAUAUCCUGAGGAACGCCGGUGGCGAAAGCGACGUGCUGGACACCUACUGACGCUGAGGCACGAAAGCCAGGGGAGCGAACGGG